rnacentral:lncRNA from 1 species
AUAUCUAAGAUCUUAAUAUUUUUUUCAUUAUCAUGGCUACAUACAACAACAAUAUAGGAUAUUUUGAUACAUUGAUAUAUAAUUAUGUUAUUUGUGUGGUUUAAAACUUGUCUAACUUAAUUGUAAAUAAAAAAAUUCAUUGCUCUAUGCACUCUCCUGAUCUAGUACUCCGACCACAUCGUGAUAGGCUCAUGAUUAAAUACUGACUUGACAUAAUUUGAACUCUGAAGAGUUUUUCAUAUGAAAAAAAAGAAGCAAAUGGAGGACAAUCGUUCGGCGUCUCUCUUCUCUCUCUUCAAGAAAAAAAAAAGCAGAUCUUCUUUAAGUUUUUCUUUUUUUUUGCUUUUAGAUCUUCAUUGCAGGUCUGGUUCUUCUUCAAUGAUGCGGUGGUGAGCGAGCUUUCCUCUCCGACAGCUGCGGUGUGGAGUAUCCGGUUCGUGAUGCAUUUGUGGCUUCUUCCUCGGCAGUUUUGAGAAAUCUCCCGAUGCUAAAUCUUUUGGUUGAGGACGCUGGAGGCAUGGUGGUGGAGAUUUCUCGCGGCUCGUCUGCUCGCGGUGGGUGCUGCGGGUUGCGGCGGAAGUCAUGAAGGCGGAUUGGUGGGUUAGGCUGUUUAUUGAGGCAAUUAACGACAGAUCCAUCUGGAUCUGAUACGGCUAAUCUCGGAUCUUGGCUGUUGAGGCUUGGUUUGAGCCAUUUAACCUCUCAGCUUCCUAGAUUUUGUUUUCGUCUGACCGGAUCUGAGGUUGGCUUUGCUCGUGAAGGUCAUGUUUGCUUGUCAGCGCUGGAGAUUGGGUGUUAGAUUUUUAGGUUCUCUCUUUUCGCUAGGUAGAGGAUUAGAGAGAUUGGGUUACGGAUCUUCUGGGAAUCGGUUCAUGCCGGGAGAAGUGUUGCAGGUUCAUGUUUGUCGCCGGGAUCGGCUUUGCGACGGGAACCGAUUACUUCUGCCAAUGAGUUCGUUUUCGCCGUCGUAGCCGCGAAGCAGUGCUUCUCGUAAUCGCUGGAAUUAAUGGAUGUGUUUCCUUGUUUUCCGAUCAACCUCCGGGUCCGAUCUAGUGUCACCGGAAUUGUCAGCCGUUUCUUUCUUUUUUUGUAUCCGUGUUAUCGUUGUAAGGCCUUGCUUAUUGCCCUUAGGCCUAAAGCCCGUUUGGGAUGAAGGUAUUAACAUAAGCAUUUAACGUCGAAAAAAAAAAAAAAAAAGAAGCAAAUGCUAAAGAGCCAUUUAGCUCAGCACUUUUAGAUUUUCUACAUAUAGCCAUAUAAAAAAAAUAGUUGUGUCUAGAAUUCCUUGAUAUGUCUAACAUCUGAAAGACACAAAAAACUUGCAUGUCAAUGCUAUUAACUUACCAUAAGACACAAAAAUGAAAAAAUUGAUGGCCAUAUGAUAAGUUGUAUAUAAACCACAAAACGUAAUAAUGAGAAAAGACGCAAGAUAAAAUUAUAAAAUUAAUAAGAUGUUAGGGAGCAAACAACUAAACUACAUAAUAAAUUUUCAGUCAUUAGUGACCAUUGUAACAAAAAAAAAAAUUUAGUAAAAUAAGAAGAGUAAAAUGAAAAUAGUGCUUGAUUUAUUAACAUAAUUUUCAUAAAAUAAAUAAAUUAAGAGUAGGACUAAUGUAGGAUUUAAUGCAUUAAGAAUUUUUAUUUUUUUCUCAUUUAAUUUUGCUAAUUUUUUUGUUUAAAUAACAAAACAAUGAACAAUCUAGAAGAAAUUGAUAUUCUGAAAACUUGAUAUUUCUCUCAAAUAAUUUCUGACUCAUUUAUACAAACACGCCCAAGGAAGUAGAAUAUAUUUAUUAAGAGGGUAACUUCCAAAUGUGGAUUUUGUCGAGUUUUUACAUACAAUUCUCGAGUUUUUACAUACAAUUCUCGAGUUUAAGAGACCUCUAAACCAGUUGAACCACAGCAGCGACUCUUAACGCACCGUUCUGGAGAAGUUCAGAGAGCUCAUCAAAGAGCAGUGCGGUGCGCCAUCCCCACCCUUUGGGAGCUUUAGGCAGAAGAGUUCCUCUCUGUUUAAAGCUCCCAAACAACAUCACUUCUCUUUUUGAUGGGCAGAUAAGCUACAAGAACAAUGAAUAUAGCUUAUAGAUGCAUCAAAACAAGACCUACGAUUUUGUUAUUUCGCUUAGAAAUGGAUUCGUACAUCGAUAUUAACGAGAACUUGAUAAUAAAUAUAUGUAACAUACCUGGUAACGUGCAGUCACUUUGUCACGAGGAUCUAUGUAAACAUGGACCUGAAUGAGGCAGAAGAGAUUGUUAUUUCACAAGACAUGACAAUUAAUGUAGCUCUGUUAUAACAAUAUACCACAUAAAACUAACCUUCCUUACUGAAUCCACUAUCUCUGCUUUGCGGCGGUGAAGAAACAAUCCUGUAGAAAUUGAUAAUCAAAGUUACACACCAAUCUAACGUGAGGAAAAUAUGUGAUCUUGUCAUUGUGUUGACUCAGGUUACCAAUCGUUCGACGUCCUUGAGGAUCUUCAUCAUUGAAUGCCUGAAUGCUAAUCUGCAUACGGUAAUACAAUUUCAUCAUUAGAAAGCGAGAACAGCUUCAAGAGAAAGCUUGACAACUGAGUAGUGAGUUUGUGAUACCUUCCACAGAGAACCAGCAUAGAAGAAUUCAGGAGAAUGCUCCACAUGACCAUUAGCGAGUCUAUGGACAUCCUCAAAUUCAACUCUGCAGACAAUGAAAAGACUCAUCUGAGUGGAACCAUUUACCAAACAGGACAAAACAAGGAGUCACAGCAAAGUUGGAAUAAACCAAGAGUGUAUCUACAACUAAACAAGACUGGAAACAGUACCCAAAACGAAAGGGAGGAAAGUGACACAAAGGUGUCCUUGUAUCGAGUGAUAUGGUACAACUUGCGUUCUCCCACUCAGUCCCUACUGAAGAUUCCUUUGGUUCUGACAUUCCAACAGUAGCUCCACUGCCACGCCCUCCUUCAGUUUGAUCACCACGAAGAUUAUUACCAACACCGCUUGUCCCUUGGCUCAGCCCAACCAGAGCUGUCAAGCCGUCUUUUGAAAUUUCUCCAAUCUGGUCAAUUCUACCUUCAGAACCAUCACUAGCAAUAGAUUGCUGACCAUUUCUGUUAAUAGGGACACGAGAGUACACAAAAGGUGUAGGAGGCCAUGCAGGUGGUGGCACAAAUGUAGCUUCGCAUCCAAUGCCUGCAAGUCCAUCAAUGUGUUGUCCCCUCACACUGAUCCUGACAGGCUUAAAGAUGCCUAUUCCUUCGCCUUGAGAAGAUUCCGCCACAUAGACAUUUUCCAUGUCUCCCAUCAUAUUGUUCUGCACAUUGUCUUGGCAAUAAUAAUUAUUGAAGGUUGCACCAUGUGAAACCCCAAAUCCCUGUUUACACGCGCAAGCAACACUAAUAAGGCAACACCUUUUGCAUGUGCUGGCAGCAACUUCCUGCACCCUUUGACUGAGAAGCAUCUGAAUAGUAGUCAAACAUAAAAAUAUUAAAUGCAUUUAUAGAAGCAAACAUGUAACACUAGAGUAAGAUUGCUCAUGAUAAAUGCCUCCAUUUUGAUUCAAAAUCCCUACGCCGCAUUAAGUCAAAUGUAUCAAAGGUAGGCGAAUCAACCAUCCCUACAUUUCUAAGACUGGCUGAAUGAGAAAGCAAGCAAGUCAACGAACCUGCAACCAGAGGCCAUCAUUCACGGCUUUACAAGGGAAACCCAACUCUUCAAGUUCUUUUCUUGCGUUCAAUAGUAUUUCAAAAGACAUAUUGCAAUACAGAAGUGAACCACCUUCAAAAGUGUUAACAAAUGCACUGUAUUCUUCCUCAGUAAAUCCAUAUUUUCCUUUAACAGAGCCUGUACCCUGCCUUGUCCCUACAACCCGCCCACCCCAGGUUAGAGCAGAAACACCACAGUUUCCCCAUUCACUGACCACAAAACCAUCAGAGGAAGAACCUAAAGUAGGAGAAUUUCUAGAGUCUGCUCCUGAUAACCAACUAUCAUUACUCAAAUGGUAUGCUUCUUCAGAAGGUCCUUCAAUUGCCACCCCACUGCCUUCUGUCUUAUCAACAACACUGGUGCAAGUACGACCAAAACUUGUUUGUGAGUUAGGAGAUUGCUGAAACACGAGAUUUGAACCAGAAACACCUCUUUGGAAAUCAAUAACACCUUCUGCGAGUGGAACAAUCACAUCAUCACUAGCAUCUCGUAGGUCGUCUUCUAUAUCUAAAUGACCUAACUUACAGUCCAAACUCCUGAAAGAGAAAUCAUCCAUCACACUUUUCCCCUUUGAUAUAGCUGAAUCCAAAGGAAAGCUUGUCUCUCUCUCAAACCUGGAAUAUUUAUUGGAAUGUUCUGAGUUGGAGAGAGCACCAUUUGAUAUGAACGCGUACAAUGCCAGUUCAAACCUUUUUGACAUGGAAAGAAACAAGGUUUAAAGAAACUUUAUAGAUGCAAAUACAGCAUGAAACCAUAAUACAGUUAGAGUAUGCAAUUCUCAAUACCGUUUUUCUUCACUAGGCACCCAUAGUUCAUCAGAUGUCAGCAAUGCACAUAGAGUCUGUGCAGAGAGUUUCGGCAGCAUCUGACCAUAAGAUGUGAUAAAAUAAGUAGCAAGUCAGAACUAGAAUACUAAAAACUAGGUUGAACACUCUUUGAUUUCAUUAUCAGAUGCUUUCGAGAUAGAAUGACAUAUAGGAUGGAAGACUGUCAAGCCAUAUACAUCAUGUCAAUAAUUAAGGAAAAACGUUUUAGCAAUGAGAUAGGUAGAACAGGAUAUAGCUAGAAUGAGGAUACUUUUGCUUUCUUGACAAAUACCCAAAAGAAACGAGGCCAUCACUAACUACAUAAAAGUCAUAAUGUCACUCUAAAGCAUAGACAUUAUUUACCUCUCUCAGUUCCACGGCACCACUUUGACAGAGAUAACCCCAGCAAGCAUUCCUUACACGUUCUCCAUGUAUGCCAUAGUCUUGGCUCUCAGCAAACACCUGAGUCACAAGUGGGAGAAGCUCCAUGUACUCAAUAUUCACGGAGACCAAGGAGGCUGAAAAAUAUACAUUACUAAUAUAUCUCAAACCUGAUAUGCCAGGAAGUUUGAAGUCCUCAGCUCAGAAAUAAUAAAAUCGGUGCAUAUGGCACACAAAUCCUGUAGCAAAACCCCCUAGUUUUUAGAUCAACUGAUCCAAAAGAAACUAAUCUUUUGAUUAAUUCACAGGAAUUAAGACUACCUGGAGAUCAAGAAAAGAAGCAGCAGCUAAAACACGAAAGGCAUUAUCAUCAUCAAGCUUAGGAUGAUACCCAUAAAGAUAAGCCAAAGCAACAGAAAUAGCAUCUCCAUUAACAUUUUUAUCAUCCACAAGUAAGUUCACAACCGGAGAGCUUGCUUCUUUCCAUGGACCUUGAAGCAUAGUCCUGAAGCAAAAUUGCAUAAUUUAAAACAAAUGGCAAAACCUGAAUAUCAAAAGCCUACCACAGAAUCCAAUAUUCUAACUGAAACCCGGUGAUUCGAGUCGAUCGCUCCAUUAUAAAUCGGAAAAUUCACCUGAAGUAGGAGCUGCGAGAUAGAAUCAACCGAUGGAGAUGGUAACUGGAUCCCAUAGCUUUAACAACAACAUCAGAAAACGCACCGGAGCCAAAACCUUCGGAUUGAAUAUGAUCGCAUAAAGAAGUAAGAUUAAAGUCGAGAGAACGAAGCUCCGAGGUACUCUGAUCACUUUCAGCAUGAGGAAGAACCGGUGGCGAAGGUUGAGGAGACGGUGGUGGUGGAACCGUCAUUCUCAUUUGAUGAUGAUGAUGCUGUUGGUGGUGCGUCACCGACGUUCUAGAGUUCCGAUACUCUUGGUCCAUGAAAAAGGAAGAUUCAAAAUCAAUUGUUCUAGGGAAGUGAUUCAAUUUCAAUUGGGGAAAAGAGAACCAUUGAAGACGGAGAAUUAGCUCUCUCCCUUGAACAGUCACACAUUUACCAACACUCGCGUGUGGCAUAGAAGUGAUAACUUAAACGUUGUCGUUUCGUAGAAGUUAGGGAACGACGUCGUGUGAAAUGAGCAAUUAACCAAGUAACCGAAUCUAAUUAAUCUAAACCGAACCGAUGCUUGUGACCGUUGGAGCCGAAACCUUACCAACGGUCUUCUGCUUUAUUUCCUCUUGAAUUUUUGAAUAUAAAAUGCGAAAAAGGGAACAAAUUUUUCUCUUUAUAUUAAACAUUUCAACCCCACCACUGAUUAUUAUUCCCCAGAACGAUUUUCCAAAAUCAAAAAUCUCUCUAUCUCUUUUGAAUUCUCAAAAAAACUUCUAUCAAUGGCGUUGAGAAACAUUGAAAACGCUCUUCCGAUCUCACAAGAACGACCUAAGAAGCUGGCUAAACUCUCAAAGCAACCGGAGAUUGGUUUGAAUGACGAAAACAACCCUGUUGUUGUGCCUGAAUCGAUCGUUGAAUACGUUGCUUCUGAGAAUCUCGAACCAUUUUCAGAUCCUGAAUCCUCUGUCCAGGUAUGAUUCUCAAUUGAUUCGAAAAAUCUGUGGAGUAAUUUGUUUUGAUGAUCAUUGAUUCAAUUCUUAUCACAGAGAUUACUAGAAGAAUUAGCAUCAAAGGAUUGGAUUAAAGUAUGUGAAUCAUUGAAUAACACAAGGAGAUUCGCAGUUUAUCACUCUUCUCUGUUGCUACCAAUUCUGUGAGUAUUUUUAAUUUUUCUAUUUUACCAGAAUCUGAAUCUUAUGGAGUUUUUUGGUGAUGAUUUUGUUUUUGUGAAUUGAAUUGUGUAGAGAAAAGCUUAUAGUUGUGAUGGUGAAGGCGAUGAAAAACCCUAGAAGUGCAUUGUGUAAGACUUCGAUUAUGACUUGUUCUGAUAUCUUCAUUGCUUAUGGAGAAAAGUUGCUGGAAGGACCUCAUUUGAAAUCAAUGGAUGAUCUGGUAAAUUUUGAUUUAUUUUUUUGGGUCAUUUUAGUUUUUUAUUGGCUAUGGAGUGUUAAUUAACAAAUAGUUUGAAUUUGGUAUCUUGAUGGUGAAAACACAGCUGUUGCAGUUGCUGAUGAAAGCUUCACAAGAUAAGAAGUUUGUGUGUGAAGAAGCAGACAAAGCUCUGAACACGAUGGUUAACUCAGUGGCUCGCUUGCCGCUUCUGCGUAAGCUUCAGACUUAUGUCCGUCACAGUAACCCUCGUGUCAGGGCCAAAGCUGCUGUCUCUACCUCCAACUGCGUUUCUAAAAUGGUAUUUUGGAUUCUUCAACAAUGUUUAAAAUGGUAAGAGCUAAAGUUUUAUUUUCUUGAAUUGUGAUUGAUCUUUUCUUCUAUAUGUUUUGUUAUCAGGAGCUAAAUGAAAUGGAAGAAUUUGGGAUGGUUCUGCUCGCACAAAUGGCUGCGGAUUUGUUGAGUGACAAGUUGCCAGAGGCAAGGGAAGCCGCGAGGAGUAUGGUGAACUCUCUUUUCCAGAAAUUUACAUGGAAUGAAGAGGAUGACGAAGAAGGAAGCAAGCAAGAAGCUUGGAAGAAGUUUUGUGAGAAGAAAGUAACAGGGCUCAACGCACAAGCCAUGAUCAAGAUUGUCUCAUCUCAAUAAAUUUCUAAAGAGGAAAUGUUGUUCUCUCUGAUUCAUGUAAAAUACGUUUUUACAUGAUGUAACAAUCUUCUAUUUCUGCAAUUCCUAUUGGAUAUGUCCUCUCAAUUCCAAUGUCAUAAUACACUAGAGGCUCAUGGUUCAUUAAGCUUCAUGAAAAGUUGUCGUUGUGGCCCAAUUGUUCUUAAUGCAUCUGUCAUCCACAUCGAUCACCUCUGGACUCUUUCGUUUUUCCAUUUCGAAGUAGUGUUGUUACUUUUUCAUCUUUGUUCUUGAAUCAGAGUUCGCAAAGCUCUUUCAACGUCUUCAAAUGGUUGUCCAGCAUACAACGUAAGCUGCCUCUUCCUCACAACUAUCACAUUCUUGUCACCAGAGCUAACUUCAUCAUAAAGAUCCUACAGUGAAUAAAUAUAAAUACAAUCUCACUGCUCUUAAAAUCCAGUAUACUUUAUACUCUCUGAUCAUGAAGAGAAAUUCAGGGUUCUGAGGAACACAAUUCUCCUAAAUAAGUAAAUUUCACAGAUGCAGACAUUAAGAAAGAAGAAUCAAGUUAGUAAAAGAAAGAGCUGUCUACCUUGGUUGACACGGGAGCUAUAUCGGCGAUGAAAUCAUCCAAGUCUUCAAAAACUGAUUCAAGCAGAUAAGAGAAGUUUCUAGCAUCACUUUGAUCCUCAAAUGCAAUCAUGUAUGAGACCUGGCCCUCAUUUUGUUCCAUAGAUUCGGUCCUCAGAGUAAAAAAUCCCUCAGAUAUGUCUUGAUCGAUAUUACUACGCAUGAGAAUCCUCUGAUGAAAAGAGAAAACGGUAAGUGCUGGCUCAUAAUAUUUUGUAAUAGUUCGUACUUGGUUGUGAAUUAGUGAUUGGAUAUGGCAAAGAGAGCUUUUAAACCACAAAUCCAAUAUUAUUCACCUACCAGCACAUAGGGAAGCUUGAGCCACCACAUUUUAUUCUCUUUCUCAGAUUGUUUCUCCCUUGCUCUUCUCAUCGGUUUUCCUUUCCUGACUUCUCCAUGUUUCCCUGACAAUGAAGUGCUACCAAAUCCGGAACCAGCUACCAUAUUUUGUGUUCCGCCCACUCGGUUUCCAGAUUUUCUUGACUUCUUAAUUUCGUUUGACGGUCGUCGUAGCUCAGAUUCCUGAGCAGCACCUAAAAUUUUAAGAUAAGCUGAGGAUUGCAAAAUAUUUCCUCUUCAUGACUAGUUAGCAUAUUCCAUAUAUAUACUACACAAGAUCAACUUUGCAUGUAUUUCAAGUUAAAAAAUAGCUACCCGUUCUUUACACUCUGCUAAACCUCAUAUUCAUUGCUAGUCAAUCCAAUAUCUAUUCGUUACAUCCCUAACAGCACCAUUUGUUCUUGCAAAUUAACACAACUCAUCAAUGUACUUUAAACAAAACGUUGUUGCAGGAUUAUCCACUUAUUCUAAAACCUACCAGAAACCAUCUCGGAAUCUGAAAGCCCUGCCUCUAUUUGUUGUUCUUCAGGAUCUCGUGAUUCACUAACAUUCCCAUUUUGCCCUGUCAUCUCAGUCCCAGAUAUAACCUCAUCAUUUCCCUUACUUCCACCAAAGCCUUUCACAUUACCCGUUGGUGGCUUCUCGGCUUUAAACUUAUACUUCUUCUCAAACAUCAAACUUUCCUCAUCAUUUCCAGAUUCAUCCAACGGUUCUACACGCAAUCCCGCUAAACCUUUCCUCUGCGAAUUCAAACGUUUCUCCAUGUUAGACAAUCUUGCUUCUAUCUCUUUCUCAAUAUCAAUCCCAGUUUCAUCCUCUUCUUCCUUACCCUCACUUUUACGUGCUUCACGUGCCAUCAAUCUGAUCUCUGCAAUCUUCUCAUUCAUCUCAAGAUCCUCUAAUGAAACCACAUUGCUCUCUCUUUCCCCAUUUUGACCACUACCACUCGAAAUUUCCGGCGUAUUCUCGGAUUUCGUUGAGUCUCCCAGAAACAAAACAGCACAAACUGUUUGAAAAGCGAAUAUUCCGAUUAACCACAAUCCAUACUUCGCCAAUGACUUCGGAGAGAGCUUACUUGAUAUACCAUUUAGCUCAUUUGACACAACCGAGCUACUUAAGACUUGAAGCUCCUCCUCUACAUGAUCAUCCUGAUUAGAAACUACGUCGCUUGGAGGAACAUUUUCCGGCGUUUCGAUUUCGAUUAAGACGGUUUCUUGAGGCUUCGGAUUUAGGGUUCUAAGGAUUUUGGGUCGCAGGUAAUUUUUCCUUCUUGAUGACUUCGACGAGAACGGACUCGAAACCGAAGAACACCGGAUAACUUUAAAAGAAACUCUCCUUCCGGUAGAGUACGACGGAAACAAAGUCAAAGGAGAUAAAAAGACGGCGCAUCGGAAAACCGCCAUGGCUACGGCGGAGAUGCUUUACCCACACAGAGUUUCUUAUUACACAUUGAUAAAUAGUAAUAAUAACAAAUAAACCCAAAACUCUUAAAAUAUUUCGUAUAUCGUUCUUUCAAAUGUGAAAUUUUCAAACUUGACCCCAAAAAGUGGAUAAUUAGGCAAAAUCUUCAAUUUUUGUCUUGAGCCGCCUGAAUUGUAGCAUCGCUCUCACACUCUCUGUGGCUCUUUCGUCUUCCACACUAUCACUUCCACAGCCACAAAGCUUCACAUACAUAAAUCCUAAUUAUCUUGUCACGACAAACAGAAACUCACAAAAAACCUCUUUUUGUUUGAAUUAACGUUUUCCUUUGUUUUGUUCUGUGUAAAUUUUGGAUGCUUUUGGUUUUAUGGAGUCGGAGAAGCCUGGGAUUGUUUCAAUUCUCACGGAUUCAGAGAAACCUCGCGUUUCAAUUUCCGCGGUUAGAGCGGUUGCGGCGGCAAGAGCUGAUUCGUUUCUUCUUACACGUACUCUCUCUGGUUCGUUUUCAUCUGCAGGUUAUGUUCCAAUUCGUGCACCUGUUACAAUUGAUGAGGAUGAUGAUACUGGUUCUGUAACUGACGAACAUAAUUCAGCAAGUAGUGAAGCUAGUAGUUAUAGUAAUGGAGUUGAUUUUGAGACUGAUGAAGAUGAGACUGAGGAGUUAGAGGAUGUGAUUUUGGGUGGGGUUAGGGUUGAUAGGCUACUAGGGGAAGAGUUCGGUGGAGAGAUUGGAGAUGAAAGUGAGUUUUCAGGUGGGAGUGUGAUUUAUAGACCAUUUGCUGGUGAUGUUGACGAGGAAACGUCGGUGAAUUACUCGUCUUUGGGGGAAGAGAGUGAGAAUAGUGAUGAGGUUGAGGGAGUUAGUGAAAGUGAAGUUAGUGAAGGUGAAAGAGGUAGCAUGAAAGCAAAAGUUGUCAUUCCUCGUGCUGUUUUGUCUUUGGAUGAUAAUGAGUUUGAUGAAAUUUUGGGUAGUGAUGAUGAAGAGGGUGUGUUGUUGCGUGUAACCAAGGCUCUAGGUGAGGAAGAAACUGAAAUCGAAGAUAGAGGCUUGCAAUUCGGAGGUAAGGGAGUGGUUGAUGAACCAGAGUGUUCGGGUUCUUUUAUAAGUGAUGUUGAUUCUAAUGAGGAAGAAGAGGUGAGAAUGAACUAUUCAGAUGAAUGUGAUGAUGGUUUAGUGUCCUUUGGGAAUAUUGAAGAAUCGAGUCUCGGUGUUGUUCCACCAGGAGGUUUUAAUGAUUUUAAGGCAGAAACUGAAGGGAACUCUAUUGAGGCAAGUAUGGAAGUGGGUAAAAGUUUCAAGCAACUUUUGGAGACUGGGGUUGUUCAAAGAACCAUCAUCAAGGAGGAUGGGAGUGGUAGCAAUAAUGAAUUCGACGCAUUGAUGAUAUUAAAUGAUGCAGAAAGAGUAGAAGAUAGUGCAGUUGAAUUAGCAGAAAUGGUAAUGACUGAUAAACCAGAAUACGUAGGUUCUAAUACAGGUGAACUUGUAUCCACAGAGGAAGAUAUGGUACAAGAGAAAUCUUCUGACGGUGGGUUGGUGUCCUUUGCGAGUAGUCUUGGUGUUGCGACAGGUGAAUGCAAUGAGUUUCUGGUGGAAAGUGAAGGAAACGCUGUUGAUGUGGAUAAAGGAUUAGAUGAAACUGUCACUGUCAGCAGCCUUGUCGAACAAGGGGUGGUUGUGGGUCAAGGAAGUACCAGCAAGGAGAGCAAUAACAGAACUGAUGUUGGUAGUGUCUGUGAAGCAGAUGAAUUGAUGAUUCUAGGUGACGGGUCUAUUGGAUCAGAAAGCAGAGACUCAAGGGAUGAAGACACUGGAAAUAUGAUAGGUGAGGCAAAAGAACACUGUGGAAAUGAUUGUGGUGCUGUUUGCGAAUUAGAAAAAACUGAAUGUGAGGGCGGACCUGAAGUUGUUAUGAGCUCUGAAAGUGUUCAGUUAACUCCCCCUCCAGAUUCUGAAACGACGAGGAACCUUGAGGUCGCUGGAGGAAUAGAUGUCGCUGUAAGUGGUUGUGGUUCUUCCGAUCGAAAAGCUGAACAAGAGUCUGAAAGUGAAGGAAAUCAAGAAUCAGACGAUACUGAUAGGAAGUUAUCACUUCCUGUUGAAGAUAGAGCAUCAAGUUUAAGAAAUUCCUUUGAAACAGCCAAUGAGACUGUGGAAAAUGGGAAGCAGAUUAAUAAGCAGGUCAUUUUUCAAUCUGAUAGCGAACCAAAUCAAAUCUCUGUGGGCAUAGAAGAAACCAGUUUGCCUUCUGUUAAAGAAAUUGAGAGAACCAUGCCUGAAAACUCUUCGGUAAUUGGUUAUGAUAUAAUGGAAAAUGAUACGCGGAUGGCACCGCUGAUUCACAAUCACACGUUUGUGAAGCUUGACGAGUACGAAGGAACAUGUGAUACAAGGGAGAGACUCUCUGAAUCCAGUUUCCAGAAUUAUUCUGAAGUAUUAUGCUCUGAUCAUUCUGUGCAGCUGAUAAGUGAGAAAGUGAAAGAGAGAGUUGAGAAGACCCAGCUCCUGAAAGAAAAGCUCCAGAGAAUUAUAAGAAGAACAGAUCUUUGCAGUGAAAAUUUAACUGUUACUGAAGUUGAGUCUAAGCUGAGCAUAGCUGGUGGAGAACAUCAAACGACCUUAGGGCUGGAUAACGUGUCUGAUAGAACAAAGAUAAUGCUGCCUGAACAUGAGUUUCCAGAUGAUCUAGACUUCUCCAUUAAUGUCCUUGUUAUCGGGAAAACCGGGGUGGGAAAAAGUGCAACGAUUAAUUCUAUCUUUGGGGAGACUAAGUCUCUUGUUGGUGCAUUUGGAGUUACCACAAAGUCUGCAAAUUACGUAGUUGGGAAUGUAGGAGGAAUCCUGAUAAGAAUACUUGACACGCCAGGUCUCAUGUCCUCUGCAACUGAGGAGCGGUUUAAUCAGAAAGUCCUCAUGUCGAUAAAGAAGAGCAUGAGAAAGUUCCCAGUUGAUGUCAUCCUCUAUAUUGACCGUCUAGAUGAGCACCCAGACAUCCAUUUACUUAGAAUCAUAACCAAUUCUCUGGGCUCAUCAGUAUGGCGAAACGCCAUUGUGGUUUUAACUCAUGCAGCUUCCAAUAUCCCAGAUUCUUCAAGCUACAAAGACUUUAUUGCUCAGAGAUGUUCUCUUAUGCAUCAAUCAAUCAGACAAGCAGUUCCAGAGUUAAGUUGUGUAGGCCAGAGCAAGAUGCCUGGAAUUGUGCUGGCAGAGAACAACAUGAGCUCUUUCUCCACAAACAAAAGAAGCGAAUCUACAUGUCCGGACUGGAGAUUGAACUUGCUGAUCUUAUGUUGUUCAGUUAAGAUCCGGUCAAAAGCCGGUUUAUUGCAAAAGCAGAUUACCGUUGUAGAAAAGGCCGAUGUAUUUGGCAACCAGCUUCACUCGUUUACUCUAUUCUGUUCCUUGUGGAAUGUGUUGCUUCUUGGGGCUAACUCAGGACACACUUCUCAUUCACAUGAUGAUUUGGAUGAGAAGAAAAGGCAGUUACUGGAUUCUUACCCUAAAAUCAUCUGGGACGAACAGAGUCAAGAAUGUCUCGAGCAAAGAGAGAGUCAAGAACCAGAAGACCAGGAGAGGCGAGAUGAAAAAGGAAAAACAAACAGAGGCUUGGAAGAAGUAACUGUUCGUGGUCGUAUGAGAAGAGGAAGACUUGGGUUCCAAGCAACAAAAAGGUUCGGUAUCUAUCUCGAUACAUCUGAUUUGCACACAGGGUUUUCCAUUGGAAGCCGAGGCUGUAGAAAGAACGAACAAGAAGAAGGAAGGAUCUUGGUGAGGAUGAGAGGCUCUAUGUCUGUUCUAGGUUUGGUUCCUAUGUUGAUUUCCGUUUUCACUUCUGUCUAUGGUGGAAAAAAUAUUUAAAAACUUAAAUUGCUCUUGUUGUAGAAUUUGUAACAUAUCAGAUGUGUUCUUCGUCUCUUUUUGGAUUCUAAUGUUGUGACCUGUGAGUAAGUUUUGUUACUGCUUCUAUUGAUUGUUUUGGUUUCUAGAGAGGAUUAGAAUCAAUCUAAUCAAAUGGUGGCUAGGAAGGUCUCUCACAUGGAGGUAAGAUACUUAUAUAAGUCUUUUGGUUGUGAUCUAAUAAAUAUAUAAAUCAUGUGUUUCGUUUCUCUUGUAAAAUCAUGAUAGUGUUCAACAACCUUCGUAAUUUAUAUAUUGAAGGUAUUCCAAAUCUACAAACUUCAGUCAUCAAUGUAUCAAUCGGCUUAGGAUUAACCAUCAAUGGAUUCAGGGUUUAUUCCAUUGGUCUGUCUUUAAUCAUCAAGAAGAACAAAAAUAAACCAAAUUUUAAAUUGAUUACAAAUGAAGAUACUUUUAAAUUGUAUUAAAAAAAAAUUUGCAUUGUGUGAACUUAAUUAAAGAGCCGUGAAAUAUUGGGUUCGUCUUGACUGAGUAUAGAGCCGUGCCUUUGUAUAUUGAAAUGAAACAUCGGCCUACGGCUCAUAUUUUCGUAAGAAACUCAAAGACAUAUUUUUGUAAUAUGAAGUAGCUUCCUUUUGACUAUCAUUUGUUUCAUGUAGUUUAGAUUGGUAAUUCAAUUUUAAAAAAAUUGUGUUCUAAUUUUUAUUUAUUUUUUAGAGUAAUAUUGUCUAGGAUCUGGGCAUUAGUGGGGAGGACUUUGCAAGCAAAUGUAAUCGUCUGUUUUGUCGGCGUCGCCUCUGCUUUCCAUAAACUUAGUGCUUCAGCAUCAACAUGUUGUCUGCUAGUUCCACGUCUAGUAUCACUGUUCUUAUAUUAGGGGUCAAACGAAUAUUUGACAUAACAAAUAAAAAAAUCAAUCAAUACUAAGAAGAACAAAAAUUACGAAGGAGAAAUAGAGUUUUAACUAAUGUGCGAGUAAAAAAUAAAAUAAUUUUUUCAAAUAUAUUAGAUUGUGGAAAAAAUUAUAUCCAUUAACUUGUUUUAUACUUUCCUAGGUUGAAAAAAAAA